CUCAGUCUCAGAGAUCAGAGGCUUAAAGAAAAAGAUACAUUAAAAUCUGCAAAGGAAAGAGAAGCCUCUUUUCUGCCUAAUCUUCCAAUAUAACACCCAGCUAAGACCACCUUAUUGAUUGAAACCAACUUCAUCAACUCUUCCAUUAAAGCUAGACUGGACUUAAUGCAGUGAAUGAGACUGUCUAUAUGACAAGUCCAUUUCCUCACAUAACUGUGUAAUGGAUAAACCUGAGAAACAGACAUAGGUAUGGAGUGUCUCUAAGGAAUGCUAAGGAUCUGAGAUUUGAAGAAUUUCCAUGCACACAUGAACCUAUGCAGCACAUGAACUGAUUAGUGCUAAGAGUAACUCAGGACAAAUGUUACAAAUGUCAACAGUGUGGACACUAUUGAGCUUGAUCUUAAAUAAAGAUGCCCAGAAUUCCUAUCACAAACAUUUUUCAGAACAUGUACAACAUGAAGGGGCUGCUACAUGAUUAC
rnacentral:lncRNA from 1 species